rnacentral:rRNA from 1 species
UCCUUGAGGGUUUCGAUCACCGGCACGAUGUUGGGAACGCGCGCGACCGGGAUAAACUGGGAAGCCCCCGCCGAGUGCUUGGCGACUACCGAGGUCAGCGAAGCCGACCGAUGGCGCGGAAUCAUCACGCCCGUUGCGCCGACCGCCUCGGCCGUCCUGAGUAUUGCGCCGAGAUUUUGCGGGUCU